GAAAUGCGAAACGUAGUGUGAAUUGCAGAAUUCCGUGAAUCAUCAAAUCUUUGAACGCAUAUUGCGCUCGAAGCUUCGGCUAAGAGCAUGUCUGCCUCAGCGUCGGGUUAACAUCGCUUGCUUAUCUACCAAAGGUAUAGCAACGGACCUGACCCUUCCAAUCAAGUUAGCAUUAAUGUGGUUGGAUUGGUUGAAGUGCAUAGGCAAUUAGUUGAAGGCCCAUCACGGCCACGUUUUGGUUAGGCAGAGCUUCGGCUAGCUCCUAAACGUUGGCUUGGAUUUUCAAUGCCCUUCCAGGAGUGGCCUAGAAACAGGCCCCUACCCCAUGUACUCGACCUGAGCUCAGGCAAGAACACCCGCUGAACUUAA
rnacentral:misc_RNA from 1 species